UACGGAGGGUGCGAGCGUUGUCCGGAAUCACUGGGCGUAAAGGGCGCGUAGGCGGCGCGGGGAGUCAACGGUGAAAGCUCGGCGCUCAACGCCGAGUCGGCCGUCGAUACUCCCGUGCUUGAGCACUGUAGAGGCAGGUGGAAUUCCGGGUGUAGCGGUGGAAUGCGUAGAGAUCCGGAAGAACACCGGUGGCGAAGGCAGCCCCCUGGGCUGACACUGACGCUCAGGCACGAAAGCGUGGGGAGCAAACAGG
rnacentral:rRNA from 1 species